rnacentral:rRNA from 1 species
UACGAAGGGGGCUAGCGUUGUUCGGAAUUACUGGGCGUAAAGGGCGUGUAGGCGGCUUUUUAAGUCAGAUGUGAAAACCCUGGGCUUAACCCAGGAACUGCAUUUGAAACUGGAAGGCUUGAGGACCGGAGAGGGCAGUGGAAUUCCCAGUGUAGCGGUGAAAUGCGUAGAUAUUGGGAGGAACACCAGUGGCGAAGGCGACUGCCUGGACGGCACCUGACGCUGAGGCGCGAAAGCUAGGGGAGCAAACGGG